CGCGGAGAGAUGUAUCGUGAAAACGACAUGUUGAACUAAUGAAACCCGACAAUUUAUUGAAAACACGUUGGUACCUGGGAUGCGUAAUGAUUUUCCUUCUUAAAAAAUAUAUACUUCUGCUGGGUAAUGUCAAAAGUUGACCGAUGUUACACAAUACUGUGUAACAUGCUACACUCUUGCAGGGUAUCAGGGACGCAACGAGCUCGAUGCAAACGUUACACCACGUAACGUCGGUCUACCUCUGGUGGUUUCGUACUAAACAGUCCAACUCUUUAGUUAAGAUUGUCAGAACUGAGAUCGGUCUUUAUGUUUUUAAUAUCUGUGCGUAUUAAUAUUUAACGUAUUAUUUUUAAUAUCCAUUAUGGCCCAACGCCAGUACGCAAUGUACACAAACAUUUUAAUGUGACAUCUAUCUGAAUGCCAACUGAAAGGGUCCGUUAACAAGAUAGUUUGUUUUAAUUAAAGUUGCCUGCAAAAUUAUGUAUCCGCGGUA